GAUCAGUUGGUAGAUCAUGGCACUUGCAAUGCCAGGGUUGUGGGUUCGAUUCCCAC
rfam:Salmo salar isolate Sally breed double haploid chromosome ssa01, whole genome shotgun sequence.